rnacentral:lncRNA from 1 species
AGAUGCUGUUUAGCUUACUUAAGGAAAUUUUCAAAGUCUGCUAGAAUUUUGUUUGAAAGUAAACAAGACUUUUUUAUGCAAAUUAAUAAAAAAUUUGAACUUUAAUAAGUGUUUUAUUGUUCCAGUGAACAAAUAACGUGAAUUAUUGCCUCAGCAGCAAAAGAAAAAGCUGUUAUGACCAAAAUAUUUAGUUGUAGAAUGAAUCGCAAGAUAGGACUAUGUUUUAUUCAUUGUUUUGAAUACCGGAUACAAAAAAGUGAUAAUAUCACAGCAUAUUAAUAGGUAACCCAAGUAUUGCUGAAUCCAUGCGAAGGGUAACAAAGACAGGUAUUACAACAUUACGUUAACUUAUUUUUUUGGUAGGUGGUGGCUCACAGAACAGUGAAACUAAGGCCAUUGCAUUUAAAAAAUUUUAUCGCUCCAUGGCAAAACAAAAGCUGGCUCUUCAAGACAGUUCUAAAAUCUAAGAUUUAGUGACGCAGUGAAAUUUCAAGUUGAUAAGAGUGUGUAUGUAAAAAAGAUGUAUUUCAAUAAACCAUAACACAUAACUAA